AUUGUACGCUGGCGGAAUGCUUUACACAUGCAAGUCGAACGGCAGCACGGGUGCUUGCACCUGGUGGCGAGUGGCGAACGGGUGAGUAAUACAUCGGAACGUACCCUGACGUGGGGAUAACGUAGCGAAAGUUACGCUAAUACCGCAUACGUCCUGAGGGAGAAAGCAGGGGAUCGUAAGACCUUGCGCGUUAGGAGCGGCCGAUGGCGGAUUAGCUAGUUGGUAGGGUAAAGGCCUACCAAGGCGACGAUCCGUAGCGGGUCUGAGAGGACGACCCGCCACGGUUGAACUGAGACACGGUCCAGACUCCUACGGGAGGCAGCAGUGGGGAAUUUUGGACACUGGGCGAAAGCCUGAUCCAGCCAUUCCGCGUGCAGGAUGAAGGCCCUCGGGUUGUAAACUGCCUUUGUACAGAACGAAAAGGCUUCUACUAAUACUAGGAGCUCAUGACGGUACUGUAAGAAUAAGCACCGGCUAACUACGUGCCAGCAGCCGCGGUAA
rnacentral:rRNA from 1 species